UACGUAGGGACCGAGCGUUGUCCGGAAUCAUUGGGCGUAAAGAGCGUGUAGGCGGCUUGUUAAGUCUUGCGUGAAAUCUCGGGGCUCAACCCCGAGCGGUCGUGAGAAACUGGCAGGCUAGAGUGCGGGAGAGGAGAGUGGAAUUCCCGGUGUAGAGGUGAAAUUCGUAGAUAUCGGGAGGAACACCGGUGGCGAAGGCGGCGAUCUGGGUCGAUACUGACGCUGAGGUGCGAAAGCGUGGGGGAGCAAACAGGG
rnacentral:rRNA from 1 species